GUACUUUGGUAGCAAGUCUGCUCGAGCCAUCCAGCAUUCGUUCCAAACGUGAAAGGUCCUGCAAAAGACAACAUCAUGCGCUUAUGCUAAGGGAUGGAGCCCUGAGAUUUGUUUUAAAGGUGGUUCUUUGUAUGCUUUCCACAUAGUUAUGACUUACGUGUUUCUGGCUCCAAAAGGAGUCUUCCAAUGGGAACAGGUUACCUUUGCUGGAACUCCAGGAACAGCAUUCAUUAUGACAUUCUUCUGGAACGACUGGGUUUGUUUUUUCCCUGCAAAAUUGACCUCUCCUGUAAGUCCUUCUGACUGAUCACUCCAGUCACAAAGUCAGUUUGAUACCAGGUUUAUUUUUCAGGCUUCCUUUUAUUCAGUGCAUUGAAGCAUGUGAGCUCAAGCUGUCCUUUAUUAUAAUAUAUAUUCUAGUCCAUUGUCCUGUGCAGUUGGUAGCUGUGUUCAUGCAUUUAACACACGUUAAUCAUGCUUCUGAUACGUACCAUUGUUUGUAAAACUACAGUUGUAAUAGACCAGCAUCCUGCUUAUGCUGAUUUUAACCUCCAAACCUGAAGCUGCAAUAUUGUUUACAUCAAUGUUAGCAUCUGUAACCUCAUGUGCACAAGAUCUACAAAACCAAUCAAGUAAAUUCCCUUCGUCAUUGUAAGGAUUUGGUAAGAAUUAACAUUCACUCCCAAUUAACCAUGUCCAUGACAUUAUACCUGUCUCUAAAAUGCAACAAAUGCAUAAGCAUGUACAACUUGCUAGACUGGAUCAGAAUGGAGGUUGGUUCAUCCAGCCUAAUCUGAUCUUUAACAGUACACAAUGCUGGGUGCCUCAGAAGAACGUGCAUGAGCUUCACCCCAGCAAGUGAGGCAUCAACUUGUAGCUGAUGAUUUUCACAACUCAAUGUGUCCUGGUAGGCAAGAUUUAAUGUCACUCUGAGAGUUCCUGUUAAUGAUAAAUAGUCUUUGUAUUAGUCCCCUCCUAUCUGCUCUGCAGUCUAACGUCGUUAGUGGUUAGAAACAGAAGGUGUUGUAACAUCAGUUGAGCUGUUUAUGCUGAGUUCUCCUUCUGCACUUGAUAUGGCUGAUGUAACACUGCAUGAUGGCUGACUAAAAUUUGCUUUCCUGCCACGCAUUUACUAAGCUGAAUUUCACUGAUUGUUAUAUUGUCAUCUAUUUUGCCUUGUUUGCAACCCUCUGAAGUUCCUCAUAGUUUUUCAGUCUUCAGCAAUUUAAUUGGAGCAGAUUUUGUACCCUUUUUGCAGUCGUUCCUUGCAUUGCUUCUUUUGAAAAACUUCAUCCAGGUCUAGGCAAGUGUUGUCACUGUUCUGUAUCCACUACAUCCCUGACAUGCUCAUAGAAAUCUAAAGGAAGGUAAUCCAUAGGAUCCUUGAAAGUAUCCAUCGUGUCAGGAUGUUAUCUUUAUACUGCUUCAUGAUUCUUGUUGGUUUAUGGAUCCAAACUUUAAUCCAUAAAAAUCUAUCGGCUUUAUUACCUAUAAAAAUAGAAGCUUAAAAUGCUGUGUAAGCAUCUUUAAUAACUGGCUCUUUCUGAAUGUACUGAUCAAAAAAUGUAUACAUCUAAGCAUCCCUUUUAUUGUGUCUACAUUUCCAGUUCAAAAUGUGAUACGUCCAUGAGUUAGCUGUGAAUUAUCCUUUUUGUUGGAAUUUCUUGUUUGUUUAGAGCAACAAGAAAUGUUUACAGUGUUCCUUUUGUUUUGUCUUUUAUAGUGAGCAGUACCCUCCACAUUCAGUACUCCACAUAAGAGUGAUUGAUACUAAGCAGCAGUAAAGCAAGGCAGCUUUGGUGAUGGAACCAAGUGAUUUGAAACUACCAUCUUUGGCUAUUUCUGGCCUGUUGAAAUACACGUUUAGUCAUCCACAAACAGCAUGGAUAUAACCCUCCCCUCAGAUGAAUGUGUGCUAUAUGCUGGAAACUGAAGGAAGCUAUCACUGCCAGCUGAGACAGGAGUAGUACAACAAACACCUCAGACAGUUCCAUGGCUAUGUGAACCAGCAUGCUGGCUCCAAGAUAUUAUCUUGUUAGAGUGCAUAUCAGGCCAAAAGAACAUCACGAGGCAGCAUUACUCUUUCUGUGAAAGAAGCUGGGAGCCAUACCUGUUUCUACGAUAAAUGUUAAGUUUUGCUCAGGGUGUUCUGUUCCAUUGAAGGUGCCAGUUGGUACUUGGCUGCGUUACAGCUAUGAAAAAGCGAGAAGAGCAAGAAAAUUUGAGGAUACAUCCAAGGAGGAAGGAGCACAGACACACUCAAGAAUUACAUGUUACUUUCUACAGGUACCUCUGAUAUGAGUGACAGCUGCUAUCUGUUGGGACAACAUAACAAGAAUAUGUUGAUGGACACUGGGCUUUCAUUUGGUAGUGGGAGAAUUGGGAGAAUUGGAGAGAGAGCACUACUAAAAUAAGAACAUUGAUGCAUUUGCUACACCUCCAUCAAGAAGAGCUGGCUGAUGAACUUAGAAUGCCCUAACAGAGGGUCUGAGUUGAGACAUGAGGAAGAAUACUGCUCAGGAACAGUUGCUAGCCUUCCUUGACUAACCAGCGCUAUGCUAUGAGUCUUGACAAAUUUGAGAAGAGCCCAAGGGAAAUUUUUCAUCCUGAGAUACAAAAGGGACCUGUGAAUUUUAAAUUUGGAGUCCUUUAUGCUAAGGAUGGGCAGCUUACAGGUGAUUAAAUGUUCGGUGAUGUGGGCGUUCCCACAAUUAAGUGGUGUGGAGCUGAAGGGGACUACAAUUUAAUGGUGAUGGAGCUGUUUGGACCGAGUCUUGAAGAUCUCUUCAGUUUUUGUUCAAGGAAAUUUAGUCUCAAGACAGUCCUAUUACUCGCUGACCAAAUGGUAGGAAACUGCUUUGUUGAUCUUGAUGGUGCAGUAUGUUGGAAUAUUAAAAUUUCUUGAGAGAUCAGAACCAAA